GUGCACGCUUCAGCAGCUCAUACACUAAAACUGGAAGAAUACAGAGAAGAUUAGCAUGGCCCUUGCUCAAAGAUGAUCUGCAAAUUCAUGAAUUAAAAAAUUAU
rnacentral:snRNA from 1 species